rnacentral:rRNA from 1 species
UUCGCAAUGCCCGAAAGGGUGACGAAGCGACGCCGCGUGUGGGAAGAAGGCCUUCGGGUUGUAAACCACUGUCGGGAGUUAAGAAAUGCAAGGGUGUUAAUAGCGCCCUUGCUUGACUAAGGCUCCGGAGGAAGCCACGGCUAACUCUGUGCCAGCAGCCGCGGUAAUACAGAGGCGGCAAGCGUUGUUCGGAAUUAUUGGGCGUAAAGAGCACGUAGGCGGCCUUGUAAGUCAGUUGUGAAAGCCUUCUGCUCAACGGAAGAACUGCAUCUGAUACUGCAAGGCUAGAGUGCGGAAGGGGAGAGUGGAACUUCUGGUGGAGCGGUGAAAUGCGUAGAUAUCAGAAGGAACGCCGGCGGCGAAAGCGGCUCUCUGGCCCAUAACUGACGCUGAGUGUGCGAAAGCUAGGGGAGCAAACGGGAUUAGAUACCCCGGUAGUCCUAGCCGUAAACGAUGGGCACUAAGUAGAGGGGUUUU